GAAAAAGCACAAAAUAAAAGCAAAGUCGGGAUCAAAAACGACCUUUUUAUUAAUGAUGACAAUUUCUUAAAGUAAAAAGCCCUACACCAGUUCACUUUCAUCUCGGGCGGGACGAAAGGAUGUUUUUUGAAAAGGUAGUAAACAAACAAACAUAUCACUAGAAACAAAUCGAGUAGCAGGAGAAGACAUAAACAUCAACCCAAUUGCAGUUACACACUCGGAUUCAAUUUCUCGAAA
rnacentral:lncRNA from 1 species